rnacentral:rRNA from 1 species
ACGGAGGCUUCCCGCGUUAUCCGGAUGGACUGGGUUUAAAGGGUGCGCAGGCGGAUUAAUAAGUCAGUGGUGAAAUCCUACGGCUCAACUGUAGAACUGCCAUUGAUACUGUUAGUCUUGAGUAUUGUUGAGGUAGGCGGAAUGUGUCAUGUAGCGGUGAAAUGCUUAGAUAUGACACAGAACACCAAUCGCGAAGGCAGCUUACAAAGCAAUAACUGACGCUCAUGCACGAAAGCGUGGGGAUCAAACAG